CGCCCCGCUCGGGGCCCGGCGCGGUAUCGGCGGGCAGCGCCGUCAGGGUUAACCGCGAGGAAUGCGGCGGGAGGAAUGUGCAUGCAGAUGAGAUGGAUGCUAAUCUCAUGCUAAUGAGCGGCGGCCGCGGCCGCCCGGGGCUCAGCCGGGCUCCCCGCACCCGCGCCCAGACGGCAGCUGGGCUCCGCCGGGAAGCCUGACCCGGGCUGCCGCCCGCCCCGACAUGGUGGACUGAGAGCCGGCAGCCGACCAGGCUUUGCCGGGCUCCCUCCAGCGUGUCCCCCGGCCUCCCCGGCCCGGGUGGGGGUUUUUCCCGCUUCCCUUCUUUCUUUCCGUCCCUAUGGAGCAGCUACCCCCGCCCGCCGACCAUGCCUAGGAAAGCGGGGAAUGGGCAGCUCCCCUUACCCGAUGGCUGGGAGGAGGCGAGGGAUUACGACGGCAAAGUCUUCUACAUCGACCACAACACCAAGCAGACCAGCUGGAUCGACCCCAGGGACAGGUUAACAAAACCCUUGUCAUUUGCGGAUUGUGUUGGGGAUGAACUGCCAUGGGGAUGGGAAGCUGCAUACGAUCCUCAGAUUGGUGUGUACUAUAUCGAUCACAUCAACCAAACAACACAAAUAGAAGAUCCCAGGAAACAAUGGAGGCAAGAGCAAGAGAGAAUGUUGAAGGAUUAUCUUAUGGUAGCCCAGGAUGCUCUCAGUACUCAGAAAGAGCUGUACCAGGUGAAGGAACAGAGGCUAGCACUUGCACUGGAUGAGUAUGUACGGUUGAACGAUGCCUACAAAGAAAAAUCAAGCUCUCGUACAAGCUUGUUCUCAGGCUCUUCAUCAAGCACAAAGUAUGACCCUGACAUUCUGAAGGCUGAAAUCUCCACUACAAGAUUAAGGGUUAAGAAGCUGAAGAGGGAACUCUCUCAGAUGAAGCAAGAGCUGCUGUACAAGGAACAGGGCUUUGAAACGCUACAACAAAUUGACCAAAAAAUGUCUGGAGGCCAGAGUGGGUAUGAACUGUGUGAGGCUAAAGCCAUCCUGAGUGAACUGAAAUCUAUCAGAAAGGCGAUAAGUUCAGGGGAGAGAGAAAAACAAGAUUUAAUGAAGAGUCUUGCAAAGCUGAGAGAGAAAUUUAGUCUUGACCAGACCAUUGGGACAUCUGAACCAGACUUGAGUUCGAGCUCUGUAAAUUCCCAGCUGUGUUUUUCUAGACAAACAUUGGAUACAGGGUCUCAGACUGACAUUUCUGGUGAGGUUGGAGCAAGAAGUAGAUCAAAUUUAGCAGAGAAGGUCAGAUUAAGUCUUCAGUAUGAAGAGGCAAAAAGAAGCAUGGCUAACUUAAAGAUCGAACUGUCCAAGCUAGAUAGUGAGGCCUGGCCUGGGGCACUGGAUGUAGAAAAGGAAAAACUGAUGCUAAUCAAUGAAAAAGAAGAGCUUUUGAAGGAACUCCAGUUUAUUACACCACGCAAACGUACUCAAGAUGAGCUGGAGCAGCUAGAAGCAGAAAGGAAGAGGCUUGAAGAGGAGCUGCAUUCUGUAAAGAGCACACCCAGUCAAGCACUUGCUGAAAGGUUGAAAUUGGAGGAGAGAAGAAAAGAGUUGGUACAGAAACUUGAAGAAACUACAAAACUUACUACUUACUUGCAUUCGCAACUUAGGAGCCUCUCAGCUAGCACGUUGUCUGUGUCUUCAGGGAGCAGUUUGGGAUCGCUGGCAUCCAGCCGGGGGUCUCUGAACACGUCAAGCAGAGGGUCGCUAAACUCACUCAGCUCCACGGAUCUCUACUAUAACCCAGGCGAUCAGAUAACAGACUUGGACUAUCAGUAUAAACUUGACUUCAUAUUGCAAGAAAAAAGUGGUUACAUUCCUUCGGGGCCUAUCACUACUAUUCAUGAAAAUGAAGUGGUCAGCUCCCAUGGGAGACUGGGUUACAGUGACUCUCCUUCAGCUGCAGACCACCCCAAACUGACUGAGCCUCCCAAAUCCGUGACAUCGCUGUCUUCCAGGUCCUCACUGUCCUCCUUGUCCCCCCCAGGUUCCCCUUUGGUUUUAGAAGCUGCAUUUUCUGUCUCAGCUCAAAAUUCCCCUCUGCAUCACCUCACUACGGACUUUGAAGACUGUGACCUUUCAGGUGAUUUUGCAGGCAUUAGUCUCUGUGAGAACCAAAUGUUAUUGGACUCUGAAGCCAGAGCAGGAUCUCAGAUUCCUACAGAUGACAAAGAUCUUAAUGAAAGCAUUAGGCAGCCUCUGCCUUCUCUACAUGAAGGAAGUUCAGGCGUUGACUUACCAAGAAGAGCAGCUGGUCACCUGCUUGCAGAGAAAACAGCUUGUGUAUCUGCUGCCGUGUCUGAUGAGUCUGUAGCUGGAGAUAGCGGUGUAUAUGAAGCUUCUGUGAAACAACCAAACGAAGCCGAGGAUGUUGUAUAUAGUGAAGAUGAUGCAACAACUCUCGAGGCUGUCCAGGUACAGAUAGGACUCAGAUACGACCACAGCAAUUCAAGUUUUGUGAUCAUCAUAGUCCAGCUCAGAAAUCUUCCAGCGUUUUCUGUCCCCCUUGGCUCUAAAGUGUAUAUUAGAGUAGCAGUACUUCCAUCCUCAACCGAUAUCAGCUGUCUGUUCCGCACAAAAGUUCAUCCGGCCAUGGAGACCAUUUUAUUCAACGAGAUAUUCAGAGUGGCCAUUUCCCAAGUAACACUGCUCCAGAAGACGCUGAGAAUAGAUGUUUGUGCUGUUAGUAGAAGUCGUCGGGAGGAGUGCUUGGCUGGAACUCAGAUCAGUCUGGCAGAUUUAUCGCUUUCUGAUGAGACUUGUACUCUGUGGUACAACCUUUUGCCUUGCAAGCAAAUUCCUGGCAAAAAAAACAAGGAACAGAAUGAAGAAUCCAUAUUUCUGUUAAGCAAGCAGUCUUCGGAUUCAUUGGACUUGGAUGCUGUGUCAGCUCUGCUGGAGAGGACAUCUGCUGAGCUGGAAGCAGUAGAACAAGAGCUGGCUGAAGAUGAGGAGGAGGAGGAUGAACAGGAGCAAAGGGGCUCUGAGGAAGACUGGUUGGAAAUGCUCGUAGAAGCAUCUGAUGAAAUUGUUGAUGAAGAGGAAGAUGGCAUUAAGCUGGCAGUAGAAGGCAGCUGUCCUGAUGACAUGGGGUUAUUCAUUGAUGCAGCAGAAACGGAGGAAGACAAGGACAGAGAGAACAGUGAAGAGGGCCAUGAAAGCCAGCAAGCUGCGGUAAUACUAACACUGGUUGAUAAAGAGACUAACACUGAGGAACCAGUUAAUGAGAAUGCAACAGUCCGACCCAAGGACAGGGCCAGCUGGAGCUCCAGACAGCGUCCCUUUGUCAGGAACAGCAUGAUAGUGCGCUCACAAACCUUCUCUCCAGGCGAGCGGAACCAAUACAUCUGUAGGUUGAAUCGAAGUGACAGUGACAGCUCAACACUAGCCAAAAAGUCUCUCUUUGUGAGAAACGCCACAGAAAGGAGGAGCCUGAGAGUUAAACGGCCUGUUUGCCAACCGAUCAUGCGAAGAGCUAUGCAAGAGUGCCCUAUCCGCACUUCCCUUGACUUGGAGCUGGACCUCCAGGCGUCACGCACACGACAGAAUCGACUGAAUGAUGAGCUUCAGGCCUUGCGGGAUCUUAAGCAGAAGCUUGAGGAAAUGAAAGGUAGAGGAGAGACAGACCUUCCCCUGUGUGUGCUUGAAGAUGAACGAUUUCAGAAACUCCUGAAACAAGCUGAAAAACAGUUAUUUUACAGGCUGAACAGUCAAAAGAAGAGCAGAAACAAGGUUUAAGUGCUGAGAAACUGAUGAGGAAAGCUUCUAAGGAUGUAUGCCGGUUACGGGAGCAAAGCCAGAAAGUGCCACUGCAGGUGCAGUCAUUCAGGGAGAAGAUAGCAUAUUUCACAAGAGCAAAGAUCAGUAUACCAGCCCUUCCAGCUGAUGACGUAUAAUUAUGCAUUUUCACUGAAGUGUUUUCCCACUUGCUCAUCUCUUUUUUAGAUGAACUUUUUAGUUCUAGUGACCUGCUUUUAAAGAUCUUCUAUUUUACAUUCACUGUUGAUAUGUUUAUUUGUAAAAUACAGUGAAUUUAAUUGUUGUAUGCCUGAAAAAGACAAAAAAAAAAAAAAAAGAACAACCAACAACAACCAGAAAACCAAAGUAGAUUAAUUUUGGUAUACUGAUGCUGAUUUUGUACAGUUUGUAUGUAUUGCAUGUGUGUUUUUAUUUUGUAAAGAUGGAACAAAGGAACAAAGGCAGUACUAAGCAUGUAUCCUGUUGAACCGCACUGUGUUGAGAAAUAUUACGUUCAACAGAAGAUUGUUUAUCUUUUCACUGUUUUCAUGUGAGCAGACUGUGAAGAUGGCUGUUUCGCCAUGCAAUAUUUUUGUAUAAGAGUGUGACUUUCAUAGUUUGAAGUUAACUACAACUGUAAACUCCUUUCCAAAACAUCAAGGCUGCCUCACAACAGCUGCUAAUUAGAUUCAUCACCCACAUUGGAAUUUUGUUUCUGAAAACAAAUUUCUUCUGUUUUUGUUUUUAAUACUUUAUAGGAAGAAACAGAGUCCAGAGUUCAGUUUUGUGAAUGUACAGUACUUUAACCUGCACUAAAAGGUUUCUUGCAUCUGCAGGAGAGUGAGGAAAGACAAAGCAGACAAGUAACCCUAAAAACUUACUAUGAGACUACCAAAAGGGCAGCUGCUUUCUGAACUGGAAGCUGAAUCAAAUUUGUAAUACCAGCAUUGAAAUCAGAAUAGUUAUUAUAGCCACUGUACACUUAGUGAGGGUUUCCUCUAUACGAAUCUUUUGUCUUAAAGGCUCUUAUUGCUGACUAGCAGAAUAUAACAAUGUUCACUAGGUUUCAAAUACAAAGAGAUUUUUAUUAAAGUAUUUUUACCAAUAGAAAAAUCUGUCAGAUAGUAACUCAGUCUGUUGGUAAAGUAAACCCUCUCUGAUCUGAAAAGAUCCUGACUAGAAGGCUUUGCAUAUUUCGGUACAAAACAUUGUUAAAAAUACACAGUUGACCCUGUAUGCACUUGAGCGUGCACAGGUUUAAUAAGUAGAUACGAAGAACACAUUUCAAAUUUGUUUUAUAUGAAGAAGCCUCCUAGGAAGAAACAUCAACUUGUAUUCAUUCUGUUAGAAGUCCAGAACAUCGGAUGUUUACACAGCCCUCUCUGGGUAAUAGCAGUUGGGGUUUUACCUUGUUUGGACUGUAAAAGUAGGCAGACAUCGUAGACAGAAUUAUUUUGUUUUCUACUUAGUACGUUGCACUCAGAUGUAUUUAAUGCAGUGACUGAAGUUUUCUUCCCCAAGCAACAAGCCGCAUAUGCAUGGUCUUAAUCUUUCAAAAAGGCUGUAAUUGGUGAGAAAAUGGAAGUGCCUAUAACCACAAUAUGGUAGCAGCUGUCGGAAGUUCAGAUUGACAAUUCUGUCAUGAGAGGUCUGUAUAAGCCUCACCCAAGGGUUUUCUUAUGCACAAACGCAUCAGUUCACUUCAAUGUAUAGCAAGACAUGCUAUUUUGGGCAUUAUGACUGGUUGAACAUCCUUUAUGAAUGCCCCAUUUGUUUUUUGAUUCUUGGGUUUGAGAUAACAUUCAUAUUUGAAAGGUCAAUUUUAAACAAGUCUGGGAUUAUUUAAUGUAGAGGUGAAAUGAAGGUUGGCAGUUUCAACUUCUCAAUUUGAUUAUAUAAGAUGUUUGUAGAAUAAUGUUUAGAGGUAUACUUUAUGAUUUUUCUUUUAUUUAUUUACAGUCUUAUUUAUGUUCUGUUUAAUAUAGUUCAGUUCUGGCCAUAAAAAUAAGGAUGCUAUUGUGAAAAGUAUUUAGAGCUGUCUAAAUUCUUGCCAGCUUAGCUGUUUUUUCUCACACAUUGAAUAAUCUUCAAAAAGUAUUAUCUGAUUUGUAAGCAUGGGGUAAGGCCAAAACCUAAGUAUUGCUGGCUUUAGCUUCCAAAACUCAUUUAAAAAUGAGAGACUUAAAACAUUUGUGCGCCUCCCUUUCCGCAUUGAUAAGGCUGAACGUAUUUAUAGGCAGCCUUUAACAGUUCUGUUUUUGUUUUUAACUAAUUCAAAUUAUGCACACUCAAAACACUCAAUAGAAUAAGCUAAAAUAAUACAUACAAAUAACCCCCAUCAGUUUAAAAUUAUAAAUAUUACUCCAAGUAGAAUUUACUCUGCACAGCAGGGUAUAAUAAAUGUAAUUAGUUCUGUUUCCAGGUACCAAUAUCACGCAGUUGCAUAUCUCAAAAUCUAAAUAUUACUGGUACAAGAAUAUUUAGCCAAAUGAGUAAAGGUUAGCAGAAAUUUUAAUAGAACAAAUCAUUUUUUAAAAACUAUUGCUAUGUUUAUACUGUAUUAAAUAUCAAAUGCUCAGGACUGAACUAAAUAUUUAAUCAGGUUAUAUUCUGAAUGUGUUUCUGUUCUAAUUUUGUCUGUAAGGAGUAUGCAAAUACAUCACAUAGAUUAACUUGUCUCUGCACUUUCCAUGUGUUUCAGUGAUUGGAAAAUACUUUUUUUUUU